UACGAGGGGGGCAAAUGUUGUUCGGAAUCACUGGGCGUAAAGGGAGCGUAGGCGGGCUUUUAAGUUAGGUGUUUAAUUCCGGGGCCCAACCCCGGGCAUGCACCUAAAACUGGAAGUCUUGAAUAGUGGAGAGGUCAGUGGAAUUGGGGGUGUAGCGGUGGAAUGCGUAGAGAUCCCCAAGAACACCAGUUGCGAAGGCGGCUGACUGGACACAUAUUGACGCUGAGGCUCGAAAGCAUGGGGAGCAAACGGG
rnacentral:rRNA from 1 species